rfam:Asian citrus Psyllid, Diaphorina citri - Florida Strain, whole genome shotgun sequence.
GCUCCCAUGGCGUAGUGGUCACUGCGCUCGCCUUGCAUGCGGGAGACCCGGGUUCGAUUCCCGGCGGGGUCA